rnacentral:rRNA from 1 species
AGUUUGAUCCUGGCUCAGAAUCAACGCUGGCGGCAUGCCUAACACAUGCAAGUCGAACGAGAAAGUCCUUCGGGAUGAGUACAGUGGCGUACGGGUGAGUAACGCGUGGGUUAUCUACCUCUGGGUGGGGAAUAACUCGGGGAAACUCGAGCUAAUACCGCAUAAUACGUUUACGUCAAAGCAGCAAUGCGCCUGGAGAUGAGCCUGCGUCCGAUUAGCUAGUUGGCGGGGUAAUGGCCCACCAAGGCGACGAUCGGUAGCCGGCCUGAGAGGGCGGUCGGCCACACUGGCACUGAAAUACGGGCCAGACUCCUACGGGAGGCAGCAGUGAGGAAUUUUGGGCAAUGGGCGAAAGCCUGACCCAGCAAUGCCGCGUGAACGAUGAAGUCCUUCGGGAUGUAAAGUUCGUAAGCAGGAGAAGAACACCCUGACGGUAUCCUGUGUAAGCCCCGGCUAACUACGUGCCAGCAGCCGCGGUAAUACGUAGGGGGCAAGCGUUGUUCGGAUUUACUGGGCGUAAAGGGCGCGUAGGCGGCGCGUAAAGUCGGACAUGAAAUCAUUGGGCUUAACCCAAUGGCUGUGCCCGAUACUUGCGUGCUUAGAGUGCGGGAGAGGCAAUCGGAAUUCUCGGUGUAGCGGUGAAAUGCGUAGAUAUCGAGAGGAACUCCAGUGACGAANGUGGGUUGCUGGACCGACACUGACGCUGANGCGCGAAAGCUANGGGAGCAAACGGGAUUAGAUACCCCGGUAGUCCUAGCCCUAAACGAUGAAUACUUGGUGUGCGAGUUAUUAAGUACUCGCGUGUCGUAGCUAACGCGA